rnacentral:rRNA from 1 species
GUUGUAUGGUUAAGUGACUAAGCGUACAUGGUGGAUGCCUUGGCAGUCAGAGGCGAUGAAGGACGUACUAACCUGCGAUAAGCUGUGAGAAGUCGGUAAGAGACGCUAUUACUCACAGAUUUCCGAAUGGGGAAACCCACCCGAGAUAACUCGGGUAUCUGUUACUGAAUACAUAGGUAACAGAGGCGAACCGGGAGAACUGAAACAUCUAAGUACCCCGAGGAAAAGAAAUCAACCGAGAUUCCCUCAGUAGCGGCGAGCGAACGGGGAUUAGCCCUUAAGCAUCUUGGAAGUUAGUGGAACGGUCCUGGAAAGGCCGGCGAUACAGGGUGAUAGCCCCGUACACGAAAACAACCUUGAUGUGAAAUCGAGUAGGGCGGGACACGUGACAUCCUGUCUGAAUAUGGGGGGACCAUCCUCCAAGGCUAAAUACUCCUGACUGACCGAUAGUGAACCAGUACCGUGAGGGAAAGGCGAAAAGAACCCCUGUGAGGGGAGUGAAAUAGAACCUGAAACCGUGUACGUACAAGCAGUGGGAGCCCUUCGGGGUGACUGCGUACCUUUUGUAUAAUGGGUCAGCGACUUACAUUUUGUAGCGAGGUUAACCGUAUAGGGGAGCCGUAGGGAAACCGAGUCUUAACUGGGCGUCUAGUUGCAAGGUGUAGACCCGAAACCGGGUGAUCUAGCCAUGGGCAGGUUGAAGGUUGAGUAACAUCAACUGGAGGACCGAACCCACUAACGUUGCAAAGUUAGGGGAUGACCUGUGGCUGGGGGUGAAAGGCCAAUCAAACUCGGAGAUAGCUGGUUCUCCCCGAAAGCUAUUUAGGUAGCGCCUCGGACGAAUACUACUGGGGGUAGAGCACUGUUUGGGCUAGGGGGUCAUCCCGACUUACCAACCCCAUGCAAACUCCGAAUACCAGUAAGUAAUAUCCGGGAGACACACGGCGGGUGCUAACGUCCGUCGUGAAGAGGGAAACAACCCAGACCGCCGGCUAAGGUCCCAAAGUUCUGGUUAAGUGGGAAACGAUGUGGGAAGGCUCAGACAGCUAGGAUGUUGGCUUAGAAGCAGCCAUCAUUUAAAGAAAGCGUAAUAGCUCACUAGUCGAGUCGGCCUGCGCGGAAGAUGUAACGGGGCUCAAACCAGGCACCGAAGCCGCGGAUUCACACUUAUGUGUGAGUGGUAGGGGAGCGUUCUGUAAGUCUGCGAAGGUGUAUCGAGAGGUAUGCUGGAGAUAUCAGAAGUGCGAAUGCUGACGUAAGUAACGAUAAAGGGGGUGAAAAGCCUCCUCGCCGGAAGACCAAGGGUUCCUGUCCAACGUUAAUCGGGGCAGGGUGAGUCGACCCCUAAGGCGAGGCCGAAAGGCGUAGUCGAUGGGAAGCAGGUUAAUAUUCCUGCACGACUUGUAAUUGCGAUGGGGGGACGGAGAAGGCUAGGUGGGCCAGGCGACGGUUGUCCUGGUGAAAGUGCGUAGGUGGUGUUUCUAGGCAAAUCCGGAGACACAACACUGAGACACGAGACGAACACACUACGGUGUGGAAGCCAUUGAUGCCCUGCUUCCAGGAAAAGCCUCUAAGCUUCAGAUUACAAGUCAUCGUACCCCAAACCGACACAGGUGGUCGGGUAGAGAAUACCAAGGCGCUUGAGAGAACUCGGGUGAAGGAACUAGGCAAAAUAGAACCGUAACUUCGGGAGAAGGUUCGCUCUUGACAGUGAAGUCCCUUGCGGAUGGAGCAGUUGGGAGUCGCAGUGACCAGAUGGCUGGGACUGUUUAUCAAAAACACAGCACUCUGCAAACACGAAAGUGGACGUAUAGGGUGUGACACCUGCCCGGUGCCGGAAGGUUAAUUGAUGGGGUUAGCGCAAGCGAAGCUCUUGAUCGAAGCCCCGGUAAACGGCGGCCGUAACUAUAACGGUCCUAAGGUAGCGAAAUUCCUUGUCGGGUAAGUUCCGACCUGCACGAAUGGUGUAACCAUGGCCAUGCUGUCUCCACCCGAGACUCAGUGAAAUCGAAUUCGCCGUGAAGAUGCGGUGUACCCGCGGCUAGACGGAAAGACCCCGUGAACCUUUACUACAGCUUGGCACUGAACAUUGAACCUACAUGUGUAGGAUAGGUGGGAGGCUUUGAAGGCGUGACGCCAGUUGCGCUGGAGCCGUCCUUGAAAUACCACCCUUGUAUGUUUGAUGUUCUAACGCAGGGCCCUGAAUCGGGCUCGCGGACAGUGCCUGGUGGGUAGUUUGACUGGGGCGGUCUCCUCCCAAAGAGUAACGGAGGAGCACGAAGGUUGGCUAAUCCUGGUCGGACAUCAGGAGGUUAGUGCAAUGGCAUAAGCCAGCUUAACUGCGAGACGGACAGGUCGAGCAGGUACGAAAGUAGGUCAUAGUGAUCCGGUGGUUCUGAAUGGAAGGGCCAUCGCUCAACGGAUAAAAGGUACUCCGGGGAUAACAGGCUGAUACCGCCCAAGAGUUCAUAUCGACGGCGGUGUUUGGCACCUCGAUGUCGGCUCAUCACAUCCUGGGGCUGAAGUCGGUCCCAAGGGUAUGGCUGUUCGCCAUUUAAAGUGGUACGCGAGCUGGGUUCAGAACGUCGUGAGACAGUUCGGUCCCUAUCUGCCGUGGGCGUUGGAUGAUUGAAGGGAGUUGCUCCUAGUACGAGAGGACCGGAGUGAACGAACCUCUGGUGUUCGGGUUGUCACGCCAGUGGCACUGCCCGGUAGCUAAGUUCGGAAUCGAUAACCGCUGAAAGCAUCUAAGCGUGAA